rnacentral:rRNA from 1 species
GACGAACGCUGGCGGCGUGCCUAAUACAUGCAAGUUGAGCGCUGACGGUUGGUACUUGUACCAACUGGAUGAGCAGCGAACGGGUGAGUAACGCGUGGGGAAUCUGCCUUUGAGCGGGGGACAACAUUUGGAAACGAAUGCUAAUACCGCAUAAAAACUUUAAACACAAGUUUUAAGUUUGAAAGAUGCAAUUGCAUCACUCAAAGAUGAUCCCGCGUUGUAUUAGCUAGUUGGUGAGGUAAAGGCUCACCAAGGCGAUGAUACAUAGCCGACCUGAGAGGGUGAUCGGCCACAUUGGGACUGAGACACGGCCCAAACUCCUACGGGAGGCAGCAGUAGGGAAUCUUCGGCAAUGGACGAAAGUCUGACCGAGCAACGCCGCGUGAGUGAAGAAGGGUUUCGGAUCGUAAAACUCUGUUGGUAGAGAAGAACGUUGGUGAGAGUGGAAAGCUCAUCAAGUGACGGUAACUACCCAGAAAGGGACGGCUAACUACGUG